rnacentral:rRNA from 1 species
AGGACGAACGCUGGCGGCGUGCUUAACACAUGCAAGUCGAGGGGGCUCAGCAAUGGGUCACCGGCGAACGGGUGCGUAACACGUGAGCAACCUGCCGCAGAGUGGGGGAUAGCCGGCCCAACGGCCGGGUAAUACCGCAUACGAUCGUAUCGGGACAUCCCGUAACGAUGAAAGAUUUAUCGCUCUGUGAGGGGCUCGCGGCCUAUCAGCUAGUUGGCGAGGUAACGCUCACCAAGGCGACGACGGGUAGCUGGUCUGAGAGGAUGGCCAGCCACAUUGGGACUGCGACACGGCCCAGACUCCUAGUGGGAGCAGCAGGUGGGGAAUCUUGCGCAAGUGGGACGAA